CCUACGGGAGGCAGCAGUGGGGAAUAUUGGACAAUGGGGGGAACCCUGAUCCAGCGACGCCGCGUGAGUGAAGAAGUAUUUCGGUAUGUAAAGCUCUAUCAGCAGGGAAGAAAGAAAUGACGGUACCUGACUAAGAAGCCCCGGCUAACUACAUGCCAGCAGCCGCGGUAAUACGUAGGGGGCAAGCGUUAUCCGGAUUUACUGGGUGUAAAGGGAGCGUAGACGGCGAUGCAAGUCUGAAGUGAAAGGCGGGGGCCCAACCCCUGGACUGCUUUGGAAACUGGAUGGCUGGAGGGCAGGAGAGGUAAGUGGAAUUCCGAGUGUAGCGGUGAAAUGCGUAGAUAUUAGGAGGAACACCAGUGGCGAAGGCGGCUUACUGGACUGUAACUGACGUUGAGGCUCGAAAGCGUGGGGAGCAAACAGGAGUAGAUACCCGAGUAGUC
rnacentral:rRNA from 1 species